GCCGACCUAGCUCAAUUGGUAGAGCAACGGUAUCGUAAACCGUAGGUUCGGGGUUCAAGUCCCCGGGUCGGCU
rnacentral:tRNA from 1 species